rnacentral:rRNA from 1 species
AUUGAACGCUAGCGGGAUGCUUUACACAUGCCAGUCGAACGGCAGCGCGGACUUCGGUCUGGCGGCGAGUGGCGAACGGGUGAGUAAUGUAUCGGAACGUGCCCAGUAGCGGGGGAUAACUACGCGAAAGCGUAGCUAAUACCGCAUACGCCCUACGGGGGAAAGCAGGGGAUCGUAAGACCUUGCACUAUUGGAUCGGCCGAUAUCGGAUUAGCUAGUUGGUGAGGUAACGGCUCACCAAGGCGACGAUCCGUAGCUGGUUUGAGAGGACGACCAGCCACACUGGGACUGAGACACGGCCCAGACUCCUACGGGAGGCAGCAGUGGGGAAUUUUGGACAAUGGGGGCAACCCUGAUCCAGCCAUCCCGCGUGUGCGAUGAAGGCCUUCGGGUUGUAAAGCACUUUUGGCAGGAAAGAAACGUCGCAGGCUAAUACCCCGUGGAACUGACGGUACCUGCAGAAUAAGCACCGGCUAACUACGUG